UACAGAGGGGCAAGCGUUAUUCGGAAUUAUUGGGCGUAAAGGGCGCGUAGGCGGCUUGGCAAGUGGAUGGUGAAAUCCCUCGGCUUAACCGAGGAACUGCCGUCCAAACUGCUUUGCUUGAGGCCGGGAGAGGCGAGUGGAAUUCCCAGUGUAGCGGUGAAAUGCGUAGAUAUUGGAAGGAACGCCGGUGGCGAAAGCGACACACUGGACCUUGUCUGACGCUGAGGCACGAAAGCCAGGGGAGCAAACGGGG
rnacentral:rRNA from 1 species